rnacentral:rRNA from 1 species
GCUAAAUACUCCUGACUGACCGAUAGUGAACCAGUACCGUGAGGGAAAGGCGAAAAGAACCCCGGCGAGGGGAGUGAAAAAGAACCUGAAACCGUGUACGUACAAGCAGUGGGAGCACAGAGCAAUCUGUGUGACUGCGUACCUUUUGUAUAAUGGGUCAGCGACUUAUAUUCUGUAGCAAGGUUAACCGAAUAGGGGAGCCGAAGGGAAACCGAGUCUUAACUGGGCGUUAAGUUGCAGGGUAUA